GAAAGAGAGAGAGGUCUUCCAUCCGAUGGUUCACUCCCCAGUUGGCCACAACUGACAGAGCUGCACCAUUCCAAAGCCAGGAGCCAGGAGCUUUCUCUGGGUGUCCCAUGUGGGUGUUGGAGCCCAAGCACUUGGGCCAUCUUCUAUGGCUUUCCCAGGCCAUAGCAGAGAGCUGGAUGGGAAGUGGAGCAGCCAGGUCUCAAACCAGUGCCAUUUGGGAUGCUUCUUGAGUUCACAAACUUCGACAUUAUUUAGACAAGGCCAUAAUCAAAGUGGAAGUUCUCUCCUCUUUUCAGAGAAAGGUACCUUUUUAUUUGAUGGCUCCUUCUUUCCACCAGGAUCUCACUCAUGGAGAUCUUUCAUGUAGGUCAUUUUUUGCUGCAGUGUCUUGGCUUUCCAUGCCUAAAAUGUUCUCAUGGACUUUUAAGCCAGAUUGGAAUGACUUAAGGGCUGGUUAUGAGGUAAGAGUGCUAUUUAGGGCAUUUGUCAUUCUGUGAGUCUGCUGUGUGGCCUGCUUCAAAUGUUGGAUCAUUCUCUCCUUUUUAAUUCUAUCAAUUAUUAUUAGCAGACACUGGUCUUAUUUAUGUGAUCUUUUUUUUUUUUUUAUUUAAGACCUUUAUUAGCAGGUGCUUGCAGUUUGUUGACUUUUUUGAAAAAAUCAAGUUGUAAACUUUUAUUACAAAUUAAAAAUGAAGUUCUUAAAAAUCUCAACUUGACCAGAUAUGAAACAAUUUAAAAACCUUUAAAGGUGUUUUGAGAAAAACCAGGCUUUUUUAAAAAACACGUUUGUCGUUACCAAAAAGAGACAUCUUUAGGUAAAAAUAAUAAAAACCCCAUGCUGCAUAGAUAAUGCAGAUAGUUCUAGUGAUCUGGUCAAUGGGCAAAAAGCAAGGACUUAAGGUCUUCAGCGCCAAUCUUUUGUUCAUUUCUUAUUGUUGGAAUUUCAUAUUCAUUUCUUCUUGUUGGAUGACUAAACCGGAUGAUGGUAGAGAUGUUAAGCCGGCAUUUACUCAGCCCCGCCCUGCUCAGCCUCGGGAGCGGACGAAUUCUCAGCUGGUGGAUCAGCUGCUUUUGUCUCUUUGCCAUCUUGUGGUUUAGGGUUAGCUGGGUGUCUGUGUCGGUAGUUGAAGUUGCGGCGGUACCGACGCUGAGGUGGCUGCUGACCCUGGGUCUCAUCUCCUUGGUUUUCCUUGUCUUCUUCAUUGCUGUCCUCUCUAGGCUGUCUUUGGCGAGGAGGACCUCUGCGGAAUCGUGGUCUAUAACCCCAAUACAUAUUCUGUCUCACUGGUCUACCUUGUUCUCCUGCACCCUGGUUGUCAGCACUCUGGUGUACAAAUACAUCUUCCUUGGUGUCAUUCCUGUUGAUGAAACCAUAUCCGUUCCUUACAUUGAACCAUUUUACUGUUCCCAAAACCUUCAUUGCGAUGACCUUCUUUUCCCCGCCGGCGGGCGCUGCCGAUGUGAGGCCGCCCGGGCCACUGCUCCCUGUGCCGCUGCCCGUGGUGCCGGGCUUGGUUUCGGCGGUGCUAAGGGCAGUGGCGGUGGCGGGGGGGCAGCGGGUGGCUGCUGUGUCUCGGCCUCGCUGCUCAUAGUUGCGGUGAUGGUGACUGGGGCCGGCUGCGGCAGCUGCGGCUCCUCCCGGGGUGUGAUGGUAACUAGGCCUGCGGCGGUGGUGGGGCUGCUCAGGGCUCUCUGGGGUCCGCUCUCCGCUCCCACUACCGAUCGAACUCAUAUGUGAUCCUUUUGACACUUAAUCCAAUCUUUAUGAUCAGUUAUGAACUUAAACUGAUCACUUUAACUAUUAGGAUGGCAUUGGUACCUGCCAACUUAAUGGGAUUUGGAGUUCCAUGGCGAGUUUUUAGCUUUACACUGAGGGAACUUGUGGCAAACUGUACAUCUCCUCCCUCUCUUAUUCCAACUCUUAUUUUUAACAGGGAUCAAUUUUAAAUUGUAUUUAAAACCUAAGAAUAAUUCUGUGUUAAGCAAAGAGUUCAAUCAAUGUUAUUAAGUAGAAAAAGAAAAUAGUAAAAAGAAUAAAAUAGUAAGCUUUUCCUCGACA
ensembl:lncRNA